rnacentral:tRNA from 3 species
AAUCUCAUAGCUCAAUUGGUUAGAGCACCAGUCUUUUAAACUGGGGGUUGAAAGUUCGAUUCUUUCUGGGAUUA